rnacentral:rRNA from 1 species
UACGUAGGGUGCAAGCGUUAAUCGGAAUUACUGGGCGUAAAGCGUGCGCAGGCGGUGAUGUAAGACAGAUGUGAAAUCCCCGGGCUCAACUUGGGAACUGCAUUUGAGACUGCAUAGCUAGGGUGCGGAAGAGGGAAGCGGAAUUUCCGGUGUAGCGGUGAAAUGCGUAGAUAUCGGAAGGAACACCAGUGGCGAAAGCGGCUUCCUGGUCCAGCACCGACGUUCAGGCACGAAAGCGUGGGGAGCAAACAGG